CAGCAGCCACGGUAAUACGUAGGUGGCAAGCGUUGUCCGGAAUUAUUGGGCGUAAGGGGCUCGCAGGCGGUUUCUUAAGUCUGAUGUGAAGGCCCCCGGCUCAACCGGGGAGGGUCAUUGGAAACUGGGAAACUUGAGUGCAGAAGAGGAGAGUGGAAUUCCACGUGUAGCGGUGAAAUGCGUAGAGAUGUGGAGGAACACCAGUGGCGAAGGCGACUCUCUGGUCUGUAACUGACGCUGAGGAGAGAAAGCGUGGGGAGCGAACAGGAUUAGAUACCCGUGUAGUCCCUGUCUCUUAUAC
rnacentral:rRNA from 1 species